CACAUUACUGUCUUUGAAUGCAGGUGUCUGCUGUAAGCUACAUUUGAUGUAGUGUUUUCUUCUGUAGUCUCUGCUUCCCCCAAUGAGACUGAGAUGGAGGCAGACGGUAAAGUGACCCUCCACUGCAUCCUGUACACACAAGACAACUGUGGAGGAUCAGAGGCAGAUGAAGGAGUUAGUCUGAGCUGGGUGGAUGAGGGAGGGAAAGAGCUACAGAACGAUAACAAUCGCCAGAUCAGAACCACACCUCCCUGUUCCAUCACACUGACUGAGGAGCUCAGAGGUCCAAACCCUGUUCAUACUCGGACAUGCCAGCUGACUGCAGGAGGGCAGGUUCAGACUUCUGUCUCCCACACCAUCAGAGUGAAAGAUGCUGGAGGAGAGCCAAGACACAAAUCAACUCAAAACAGGACCAGUGCCGUAGUCAUGCAGUCUGUUCAGCCAUCAAACUCCUCAGCUAAUGAGGAGGAAGGAGCUGAUCUGCACUAUGCAACCUUUCAGCACCUCAACCAAACACAAGCUGGGCCUUCUGCAAAGCAGUCUGAGGACACCGUGACCUACAGCACCAUCAUGCAGUUAUCUGGUGGUGAACACCAGAACAGCAGACCUGCUGGCAGACCAGCGGAUCCCAAUGCUAUGCAUGCUACUGUUCAGGAGAAAAACAACAUACAGAAUUAAUAGUCAUAUGGAUACACACAUAUAUACUGUAUAUACACACACACAUAUACACAUACACAGACACUCAAACACACACACACACACAUACUCAAACACACACACACAGACACAUACUCAAACACACACACACACACACACACACACACACACACACACACACACACACACACACACACACACACAUACUCAAACACACACACACAGACACAUGCAUACAGUUAUAAAAACACCC
ensembl:lncRNA